rnacentral:rRNA from 1 species
UACGUAGGGAGCAAGCGUUGUCCGGAUUUACUGGGUGUAAAGGGUGCGUAGGCGGGAAAGCAAGUCAGGCGUGAAAUCCACCGGCUUAACUGGUGGGCUGCGCUUGAAACUGUUUUUCUUGAGUGAAGUAGAGGCAGGCGGAAUUCCCGGUGUAGCGGUGAAAUGCGUAGAGAUCGGGAGGAACACCAGUGGCGAAGGCGGCCUGCUGGGCUUUUACUGACGCUGAGGCA